UACGUAGGGUGCGAGCGUUGUCCGGAAUUAUUGGGCGUAAAGAGCUUGUAGGUGGCUCGUUGCGUCGGGAGUGAAAACCUGCGGCUUAACCGCAGGCCUGCUUCCGAUACGGGCGAGCUAGAGUUCGGCAGGGGAGACUGGAAUUCCUGGUGUAGCGGUGAAAUGCGCAGAUAUCGGGAGGAACACCGGUGGCGAAGGCGGUUCUCUGGGCCUGUACUGACGCUGAGGAGCGAAAGCGUGGGGAGCGAACAGG
rnacentral:rRNA from 1 species